GAUGAACGCUAGCGGCAGGCCUAAUACAUGCAAGCCGAACGGUAAGUUGAGUAGCAAUACUUGACCUAGAGUGGCGUACGGGUGCGUAACACGUAUGUAACCUACCCUUUACAGGAGUAUAGCUCGGGGAAACUCGGAUUAAUCCUCCAUAAGAUGACAGACCGGCAUCGGUCAGUCAUAAAAACUUAGGUGGUAAAGGAUGGACAUGCGCAUGAUUAGCUAGUUGGAGGUGUAACGGACCCCCAAGGCGAUGAUCAUUAGGGGAACUGAGAGGUUGAUCCCCCACACUGGCACUGAGAUACGGGCCAGACUCCUACGGGAGGCAGCAGUAGGGAAUAUUGGUCAAUGGGUGAGAGCCUGAACCAGCCAUGCCGCGUGCAGGAAGACGGCCUUCUGGGUUGUAAACUGCUUUUACCAGGGGAUAAAAUAUCCUUGCGAGGAAAAUUGAAGGUACCUGGAGAAUAAGCACCGGCUAACUACGUGCCAGCAGCCGCGGUAAUACGUAGGGUGCAAGCGUUGUCCGGAUUUAUUGGGUUUAAAGGGUGCGUAGGCGGGCUAUUAAGUCAGUGGUGAAAUCCAGCAGCUUAACUGUUGAUGUGCCAUUGAUACUGGUAGCC
rnacentral:rRNA from 1 species